GGAGGAACACCGGUGGCGAAGGCGGGUCUCUGGGCCGUUACUGACGCUGAGGAGCGAGAGCGUGGGGAGCGAACAGGAUUAGAUAUCCUGGUAGUCCAUGCUGUAAACGGUGGGCACUAGGUGUGGGGCUCGUUGGGGUUCUGCGCCGUAGCUAACGCUUUAAGUGCCCCGCCUGGGGAGUACGGCCGCAAGGCUAAAACUCAAAGGAAUUGACGGGGGCCCGCACAAGCGGCGGAGCAUGCGGAUUAAUUCGAUGCAACGCGAAGAACCUUACCAAGGCUUGACAUGCGCUGGGAGCCUCAUGAGAGUGGGGUGCCGGUUUUCCGGCUGGCGUGCAGGUGGUGCAUGGUUGUCGUCAGCUCGUGUCGUGAGAUGUUGGGUUAAGUCCCGCAACGAGCGCAACCCUUGUCUCGUGUUGCCAGCACUUUGGGUGGGGACUCGCGGGAGACUGCCGGGGUUAACUCGGAGGAGGGUGGGGAUGACGUCAAAUCAUCAUGCCCCUUAUGUCUUGGGCUUCACGCAUGCUACAAUGGCCGGUGACAGUGGGGUGCGAUGCCGUGAGGUGGAGCGGAUCCGUGAAAGCCGGUCUCAGUUCGGAUUGGGGUCUGCAACUCGACCCCAUGAAGGUGGAGUCGCUAGUAAUCGCAGAUCAGCAGUGCUGCGGUGAAUACGUUCUCGGGCCUUGUACACACCGCCCGUCACGUCAUGAAAGUUGGCAACGCCCGAAGCCCGUGGCUUAACGCCUUCCUUGUGGGGGUGGGGGAGCGGUCGAA
rnacentral:rRNA from 1 species